rnacentral:rRNA from 1 species
AGAACACGUACCAACUAACUAUUGGUACCUUGACGGUACCUCACCANANAGCCACGGCUAACUACGUGCCAGCAGCCGCGGUAAUACGUAGGUGGCAAGCGUUGUCCGGAAUUAUUGGGCGUAAAGCGCGCGCAGGCGGUUCCUUAAGUCUGAUGUGAAAGCCCACGGCUCAACCGUGGAGGGUCAUUGGAAACUGGGGAACUUGAGUGCAGAAGAGGAAAGUGGAAUUCCACGUGUAGCGGUGAAAUGCGUAGAGAUGUGGAGGAACACCAGUGGCGAAGGCGACUUUCUGGUCUGUAACUGACGCUGAGGCGCGAAAGCGUGGGGAGCAAACAGGAUUAGAUACCCC